rnacentral:lncRNA from 1 species
CGACGAUGCUCCGGAGCCCAGGGCGGCGGUGUCUGCGCGGCACCGAGGUCUGCUUAAUGCCACCGGAUCAUGACUUCAAAAGGGGAACGUGGUUGCUUUCUCGGCAUGUUCUUCUGCCAGGGCAGAGAGGCAGGGCUUGAAAACCAGGCACGCACGUGGGGAGACGCGUCCCCGGCAGACGGUCGCGGGCCAUGGCCCCGCCUGGACGCCACACCCCUCGCAGCCCCGCCCACGUCCUCCUCUGGCCUCCCCUCAUCCCUGGCUCUGGUGAUUUACACAAGGUGGUAGGAAACCGCGGUGAUGUGAGGGCAGGCGGUCACCCUCGCUCAGGGACAGAAUCCAUGCCACCUUCCUGGGAGGCCCUGGAGGAGGCCCCCCCCCCCCCGGGACCUCCUCGGAGUGCAGGGACAUCGGGCAGGACCUGGAUGGCGCAAGGGCCUGCCCACUGGCUCCCUGGGCAGGUGAUGGUCAGCUUCUCAGGCCCUGGGGCCCUGGCCCUGGAGGAGAGGAGGGGACUGCAGGGAACCCCUCCCUCUCCAGCCUGCAAGGUCCCAGGGCCCCGCAGCCUCCUGCCGCCCUGAGUGUGACAGUUGGCUUCAUCUAUUUGAAUGACAGACUCACACCCAGGUCUGAGUCACACUGUGACGUCCAGGGUGGAGUGACCCAGGGCCGGAGAGCAGGGCCCUGCUGGGCACAGGCUCUGGCGAGAGACACUCACCAGCAAACCCACGAGUUCAAUAAACUCCACGAGCAGCAGUGUGGUGACAAGCCCUGUCCCUAGCUGGGACGUGUGACGGGGGGGGGGUCUGUGCUGUCCAGGAAGGCGGCCAGCACAGGCUUGGUGGGGUGACCGGGCCAAGGAGCCAUGGAGCUGGUGAGGGUGGCGCAGGGGGCGAGCCUGGCAGACGCAGGGCCUUGGCACCUACGGGAGGGGACAACGAGCUCCCUCAGAGACACAGCCUCCCCCGGGCCAGGGACACAACACGAGGCACGGGUGACGCACCAGUCCUGGAGGGACAGCAGAGCCCUGUGAGUGACCCAACAGGACCAACCUCCCAGCUGCCACACCCGGGGAGAGAGACGGAGGUACAGGGCAAGGGCAGGGCGCCUGGUGGCCGUCCCUGGACUGCACAUCGGGCAGGCUCCACCUCCACCACCGCCUCCCAGAUCCUCGGCUCUGCCUCCUCCUCCCGCAGGUCACACACGGCCCUGCUGAAAUGCCCAGGACAGCAGAAGGAGGCCUCGCUGACCAGCUGGCCCGUCCUCUCCAUCCUUCUUUCUCCUGCCCUUUCCUGGCAUCUCCCAGGUCCCCCUCUGGCCUUUACCCUGAUGGGCCUCUGCCUGUAGCUCCCUCUUCAAGGAACCAUCCCGAACGCUCAGCUCUGGGUAGUGCUGCAUUCCCCAGAGGGCAUCUCUUGGGGACAGGCAGUGACCCUGGUGGGGUGCUGGAGGCAGGCAUUGUGGGGAACUCCC